ensembl:snRNA U6 U6 spliceosomal RNA
AUGCUCAUUUCGGCAGCACAUAUACUAAAAUUAGAACGAUACAGAGAAGAUUAGCACGGCCCCUGUGCAAGGAUGACACGCAAAUUUGUGAAGCAUUCCAUAUAACU